AUCGAUUGGGGAGGUGGAAGGGCUCUAAUAAAGCCAGAAGGGUGCUAGAAUAUGUCUUAAGGUUGGAUUCCAUCUGUCCGAUGGACUUAGGGAGAAGGAGAUCUUUCUCUCAUCGCACAUUCCGAGCAGGUGCCUUUCUCUUUUUUUUCUUUUAUGGUUCUGGACUAAUUUAUCUAUCUGGGCUGGUCAAAUGGAUUAGGUUGAGCUCGCAAAAGGGCUAGGUGUUACAUUCUCCCUCCCUUUGAAAAAAGAAUCGUCCUUGAAAUGUUCUUACCAUAUUCUUCAAAAAUUUAGGGUUAUUGCCUCAAAUCUUCCUCUAAUUUUAAGAAUAAGUCUUUCAUCAAAUUAUUAUUCCGAUCAGCUUAAAAAUAAUUUAAACCACUACACUUCCACUACGCACU
rnacentral:lncRNA from 1 species